rnacentral:rRNA from 1 species
UACGGGGGGGGCAAGCGUUGUUCGGAAUUACUGGGCGUAAAGGGUUUGUAGGUGGCCCGCUAAGUCACACGUGAAAUCCCUCAGCUUAACUGGGGAACUGCGUGUGAGACUGGCAGGCUCGAGGGCAGGAGAGGAACGCGGAAUUCCAGGUGUAGCGGUGAAAUGCGUAGAUAUCUGGAGGAACACCGGUGGCGAAGGCGGCGUUCUGGACUGUCUCUGACACUGAAGAACGAAAGCCAGGGGAGCAAACGGGAUAGAAACCCCAGG